GUUGUAUGGUUAAGUGACUAAGCGUACAUGGUGGAUGCCUUGGCAGUCAGAGGCGAUGAAGGACGUACUAACCUGCGAUAAGCUGUGAGAAGUCGGUAAGAGACGCUAUUACUCACAGAUUUCCGAAUGGGGAAACCCACCCGAGAUAACUCGGGUAUCUGUUACUGAAUACAUAGGUAACAGAGGCGAACCGGGAGAACUGAAACAUCUAAGUACCCCGAGGAAAAGAAAUCAACCGAGAUUCCCUCAGUAGCGGCGAGCGAACGGGGAUUAGCCCUUAAGCAUCUUGGAAGUUAGUGGAACGGUCCUGGAAAGGCCGGCGAUACAGGGUGAUAGCCCCGUACACGAAAACAACCUUGAUGUGAAAUCGAGUAGGGCGGGACACGUGACAUCCUGUCUGAAUAUGGGGGGACCAUCCUCCAAGGCUAAAUACUCCUGACUGACCGAUAGUGAACCAGUACCGUGAGGGAAAGGCGAAAAGAACCCCUGUGAGGGGAGUGAAAUAGAACCUGAAACCGUGUACGUACAAGCAGUGGGAGCCCUUCGGGGUGACUGCGUACCUUUUGUAUAAUGGGUCAGCGACUUACAUUUUGUAGCGAGGUUAACCGUAUAGGGGAGCCGUAGGGAAACCGAGUCUUAACUGGGCGUCUAGUUGCAAGGUGUAGACCCGAAACCGGGUGAUCUAGCCAUGGGCAGGUUGAAGGUUGAGUAACAUCAACUGGAGGACCGAACCCACUAACGUUGCAAAGUUAGGGGAUGACCUGUGGCUGGGGGUGAAAGGCCAAUCAAACUCGGAGAUAGCUGGUUCUCCCCGAAAGCUAUUUAGGUAGCGCCUCGGACGAAUACUACUGGGGGUAGAGCACUGUUUGGGCUAGGGGGUCAUCCCGACUUACCAACCCCAUGCAAACUCCGAAUACCAGUAAGUAAUAUCCGGGAGACACACGGCGGGUGCUAACGUCCGUCGUGAAGAGGGAAACAACCCAGACCGCCGGCUAAGGUCCCAAAGUUCUGGUUAAGUGGGAAACGAUGUGGGAAGGCUCAGACAGCUAGGAUGUUGGCUUAGAAGCAGCCAUCAUUUAAAGAAAGCGUAAUAGCUCACUAGUCGAGUCGGCCUGCGCGGAAGAUGUAACGGGGCUCAAACCAGGCACCGAAGCCGCGGAUUCACACUUAUGUGUGAGUGGUAGGGGAGCGUUCUGUAAGUCUGUGAAGGUGUAUCGAGAGGUAUGCUGGAGAUAUCAGAAGUGCGAAUGCUGACGUAAGUAACGAUAAAGGGGGUGAAAAGCCUCCUCGCCGGAAGACCAAGGGUUCCUGUCCAACGUUAAUCGGGGCAGGGUGAGUCGACCCCUAAGGUGAGGCCGAAAGGCGUAAUCGAUGGGAAGCAGGUUAAUAUUCCUGCACGACUUGUAAUUGCGAUGGGGGGACGGAGAAGGCUAGGUGGGCCAGGCGACGGUUGUCCUGGUGAAAGUGCGUAGGUGGUGUUUCUAGGCAAAUCCGGAGACACAACACUGAGACACGAGACGAACACACUACGGUGUGGAAGCCAUUGAUGCCCUGCUUCCAGGAAAAGCCUCUAAGCUUCAGAUUACAAGUCAUCGUACCCCAAACCGACACAGGUGGUCGGGUAGAGAAUACCAAGGCGCUUGAGAGAACUCGGGUGAAGGAACUAGGCAAAAUAGAACCGUAACUUCGGGAGAAGGUUCGCUCUUGACAGUGAAGUCCCUUGCGGAUGGAGCAGUUGGGAGUCGCAGUGACCAGAUGGCUGGGACUGUUUAUCAAAAACACAGCACUCUGCAAACACGAAAGUGGACGUAUAGGGUGUGACACCUGCCCGGUGCCGGAAGGUUAAUUGAUGGGGUUAGCGCAAGCGAAGCUCUUGAUCGAAGCCCCGGUAAACGGCGGCCGUAACUAUAACGGUCCUAAGGUAGCGAAAUUCCUUGUCGGGUAAGUUCCGACCUGCACGAAUGGUGUAACCAUGGCCAUGCUGUCUCCACCCGAGACUCAGUGAAAUCGAAUUCGCCGUGAAGAUGCGGUGUACCCGCGGCUAGACGGAAAGACCCCGUGAACCUUUACUACAGCUUGGCACUGAACAUUGAACCUACAUGUGUAGGAUAGGUGGGAGGCUUUGAAGGCGUGACGCCAGUUGCGCUGGAGCCGUCCUUGAAAUACCACCCUUGUAUGUUUGAUGUUCUAACGCAGGGCCCUGAAUCGGGCUCGCGGACAGUGCCUGGUGGGUAGUUUGACUGGGGCGGUCUCCUCCCAAAGAGUAACGGAGGAGCACGAAGGUUGGCUAAUCCUGGUCGGACAUCAGGAGGUUAGUGCAAUGGCAUAAGCCAGCUUAACUGCGAGACGGACAGGUCGAGCAGGUACGAAAGUAGGUCAUAGUGAUCCGGUGGUUCUGAAUGGAAGGGCCAUCGCUCAACGGAUAAAAGGUACUCCGGGGAUAACAGGCUGAUACCGCCCAAGAGUUCAUAUCGACGGCGGUGUUUGGCACCUCGAUGUCGGCUCAUCACAUCCUGGGGCUGAAGUCGGUCCCAAGGGUAUGGCUGUUCGCCAUUUAAAGUGGUACGCGAGCUGGGUUCAGAACGUCGUGAGACAGUUCGGUCCCUAUCUGCCGUGGGCGUUGGAUGAUUGAAGGGAGUUGCUCCUAGUACGAGAGGACCGGAGUGAACGAACCUCUGGUGUUCGGGUUGUCACGCCAGUGGCACUGCCCGGUAGCUAAGUUCGGAAUCGAUAACCGCUGAAAGCAUCUAAGCGGGAAGCGAGCCCUGAGAUGAGUCAUCCCUGACCCCUUGAGGGUCCUAAAGGGCCGUUGGAGACCACAACGUUGAUAGGCGGGGUGUGUAAGUGCAGCGAUGCAUUGAGCUAACCCGUACUAAUUACCCGUGAGGCUUAACCAUACAACACCCAAGAAGUGUUCU
rnacentral:rRNA from 1 species